rnacentral:rRNA from 1 species
UACAGAGGGGGCAAGCGUUAUUCGGAAUUAUUGGGCGUAAAGGGCGCGUAGGCGGCUUGACAAGUGGAAGGUGAAAUCCCUCGGCUUAACCGAGGAACUGCCUUCCAGACUGUCUGGCUUGAGACCGGGAGAGGUGAGUGGAAUUCCCAGUGUAGCGGUGAAAUGCGUAGAUAUUGGGAGGAACACCAGUGGCGAAGGCGGCUCACUGGACCGGUACUGACGCUGAGGUGCGAAAGCGUGGGGAGCAAACAGG